GGGGAAUAUUGCGAAAUGGGCGAAAGCCUGACGCAGCAACGCCGCGUGAGUGACGAAGGCCUUCGGGUUGUAAAGCUCUGUCUUCCGGGACGAAGGCUUUAGGGUUAAUAGCCCCAGAGAUGACGGUACCGGAAGAGGAAGCCCCGGCUAACUACGUGCCAGCAGCCGCGGUAAAACGUAGGGGGCGAGCGUUGUCCGGAAUUACUGGGCGUAAAGCGCGUGUAGGCGGAAACUUAAGUCAGGUGUGAAAACUCGGGGCUCAACCCCGAGCCGGCAUCUGAAACUGGGUUUCUUGAGGAUGGGAGAGGAAAGUGGAAUUCCUAGUGUAGCGGUGAAAUGCGUAGAUAUUAGGAGGAACACCAGUGGCGAAGGCGGCUUUCUGGACCAUACCUGACGCUGAGACGCGAAAGCGUGGGGAGCAAAC
rnacentral:rRNA from 1 species